GAUGAAGAACGCAGUGAAAUGCGAUAAGUAAUGUGAAUUGCAGAAUUCAGCGAAUCAUCGAAUCUUUGAACGCACAUUGCGCCCCCCGGCAUUCCGGGGGGCAUGCCUGUCCGAGCGUCAUUGCACCCCUCGAGCCCGCGCGGGUUUCGGUGUUGGGCCGCCGUCCCCCGGGGGGGGGGACGGGCCCGAAAGGCAGUGGCGGCCCCGGGGCGACUUCCCGCGCGAUCGCAGCACCUCGCGGCCGAAGCGUUCGCCCCGCGGGCCCGCCUGGACCACCAGUGUGACGUACCGGUUGACCUCGGAUCAGGCAGGGAUACCCGCUGAACUUAAGCAUAUCAAUAAGCGGAGGA
rnacentral:misc_RNA from 1 species